CCUCAGCGCUCUCGUAUUCGAGCUUAGGACAACGGGUCAGGACCGGAAGGUAGCAGCCCACCCUUCGAUUCGAGGUACCGAGAUCACGUUGAGCGCU
rnacentral:SRP_RNA from 1 species